rnacentral:rRNA from 1 species
GAUGAGCGCUAGCUACAGGCUUAACACAUGCUAGUCGAGGGGUAGCAGGGUAGCAAUACCGCUGACGACCGGCGCACGGGUGAGUAACACGUAUCCAACCUUCCCAUAACUCGGGGAUAGCCUUUCGAAAGAAAGAUUAAUACCCGAUAGUACUUUUUCAAGGCAUCUUGAGAAAGUUAAAGAUUUAUUGGUUAUGGAUGGGGAUGCGUUCCAUUAGAUAGUUGGUGAGGUAACGGCUCACCAAGUCUUCGAUGGAUAGGGGUUCUGAGAGGAAGGUCCCCCACAUUGGUACUGAGACACGGACCAAACUCCUACGGGAGGCAGCAGUGAGGAAUAUUGGUCAAUGGGCGAGAGCCUGAACCAGCCAAGUAGCGUGAAGGAUGAAGGUCCUAUGGAUUGUAAACUUCUUUUAUAGUAGAAUAAAGUGAUCCACGUGUGGAUUUUUGUAUGUAUACUAUGAAUAAGGAUCGGCUAACUCCGUGCCAGCAGCCGCCGUAAAAC